AGAUAGACAUUUUGCUUCUCUGUUCUCUACCACCUACGCUCGUUGUCGGGGCUCCCCAGAUCAGCUCUUCACCGGAAAAAUUUCGGUGUCACUGUUUCGUCUCCAAUCAAAAGAUGGAACAAGGAUGUACAAAGAAAAGGGAAGCACAAGAAAUUGUAAAUGAAGGGAAAAGAAGCAAGGUAAUCAACUUAAGCUUUGAAGCAUUUGUUUCUUCUCAAAUAAAAAAUUCUCUAACAUUUCAUUUUUCUUUCUUUAUUUUUUCAUUCAGUCAAUUCAAUUUCACAUGUCGAUCGAAUCAUUUCUGAAACUUGCAUCUGAAAUAACUUAUAGUCAGGAGCAACGUGUAACUAGAUUGGGUUUCCAAUCAUUCCUUGAAAUGAGGAGCGUGUCCAAUAUUGACUGCAUUUACUUCUAUAUUACAAACCAUUUCAACACUAGUUCGUGCUCUAUUAAAUGCCAAAUGGAUUAAAAUUCCCAAUUACAACUUCAAUUGUUCACAAUUUUUUUGGCAUACCAAUUGGUGGAGUUCCAGUUAACACAAAACCAUGAGAAUCUACAUGUGAGUUCAUCAACAAUGAGUUUGGGACAACUGCACCCACUAUUGAGUACCUUUUCUCAAUUAUCAGUUAUGACCUUCUGGAAGAUAAAUUUUUCUGAAUCUUCAUUCUUAUUCUAUGGUCUCUGUUUGUUUCUCCCAAUUCAAGUGGAGUUGUUAGCAAGUUUGUGUACAAUGCAGUAGUUGACAUCGACAGAAUUUCACAAUAUGAUUGGUGCUUGCUUGCUCUAAGCUACAUGGUUUAUUCAAUAAAGAAAGGAAGAAUGAAGAACAUAAGUAGCAAAAAGUUCAUUCCCAGUGGAAGUAAAUUACUAUUGUUGAUUUCCUACUUUGAGUUCCAUAUUAUAACUGAAUUCAAGUUGCCAAGCACUGAACCAAGACUACCACUAUGAUCGGCAAACAUGCUAAAUUUAUACAUGGCACUCGAUGCGCUCCAUGGCAAAAAUAAUGAAUAUGGCACA